UACGUAGGGGGCAAGCGUUGUCCGGAUUUAUUGGGCGUAAAGAGCGUGUAGGCGGUUUGGUAGGUCCGCUGUGAAAACUCGAGGCUCAACCUCGAGACGCCGAUGGAAACCAUUUGGCUAGAGUCCGGAAGAGGAGAGUGGAAUUCCUGGUGUAGCGGUGAAAUGCGCAGAUAUCAGGAAGAACACCCGUGGCUAAGGCGGCUCUCUAGUACGGUACUGACGCUGAGACGCGAAAGCGUGGGGAGCGAACAGG
rnacentral:rRNA from 1 species